CCCAACAGUAAUAAGUCAACCAUGUCAACCAUGAGGUCAACCAGGAACAACACCUCCUCCUAACAGUAUACUGACCAUAUAACAGGGAAGAGGAUGAGGUCAACCAGGAACAACACCUCCUCCUGACAGUAUACUGACCAUAUAACAGGGAAGAGGAUGAGGUCAACCAGGAACAACACCUCCUCCUAACAGUAUACUGACCAUAUAACAGGGAAGAGGAUGAGGUCAACCAGGAACAACACCUCCUCCUAACAGUAUACUGACCAUAUAACAGGGAAGAGGAUGAGGUCAACCAGGAACAAUCCUCCUGACAGUAUACUGACCAUAUAACAGGGAAGAGAAUGAGGUCAACCAGGAACAAUCCUCCUGACAGUAUACUGACCAUAUAACAGGGAAGAGAAUGAGGUCAACCAGGAACAAUCCUCCUGACAGUAUACUGACCAUAUAACAGGGAAGAGAAUGAGGUCAACCAGGAACAAUCCUCCUGACAGUAUACUGACCAUAUAACAGGGAAGAGAAUGAGGUCAACCAGGAACAAUCCUCCUGACAGUAUACUGACCAUACAACAGGGAAGAGAAUGAGGUCAACCAGGAACAACACCUCCUCCUAACAGUAUACUGACCAUAUAACAGGGAAGAGGAUGAGGUCAACCAGGAACAACACCUCCUCCUAACAGUAUACUGACCAUAUAACAGGGAAGAGGAUGAGGUCAACCAGGAACAACACCUCCUCCUGACAGUAUACUGACCAUAUAACAGGGAAGAGGAUGAGGUCAACCAGGAACAACACCUCCUCCUGACAGUAUACUGACCAUAUAACAGGGAAGAGGAUGAGGUCAACCAGGAACAACACCUCCUCCUGACAGUAUACUGACCAUAUAACAGGGAAGAGGAUGAGGUCAACCAGGAACAACACCUCCUCCUAACAGUAUACUGACCAUAUAACAGGGAAGAGGAUGAGGUCAACCAGGAACAACACCUCCUCCUAACAGUAUACUGACCAUAUAACAGGGAAGAGGAUGAGGUCAACCAGGAACAACACCUCCUCCUAACAGUAUACUGACCAUAUAACAGGGAAGAGGAUGAGGUCAACCAGGAACAACACCUCCUCCUAACAGUAUACUGACCAUAUAACAGGGAAGAGGAUGAGGUCAACCAGGAACAACACCUCCUCCUAACAGUAUACUGACCAUAUAACAGGGAAGAGGAUGAGGUCAACCAGGAACAACACCUCCUCCUGACAGUAUACUGACCAUAUAACAGGGAAGAGGAUGAGGUCAACCAGGAACAACACCUCCUCCUAACAGUAUACUGACCAUAUAACAGGGAAGAGGAUGAGGUCAACCAGGAACAACACCUCCUCCUGACAGUAUACUGACCAUACAACAGGGAAGAGGAUGAGGUCAACCAGGAACAACACCUCCUCCUGACAGUAUACUGACCAUAUAACAGGGAAGAGGAUGAGGUUAACCAGGAACAACACCUCCUCCUGACAGUAUACUGACCAUAUAACAGGGAAGAGGAUGAGGUCAACCAGGAACAACACCUCCUCCUAACAGUAUACUGACCAUAUAACAGGGAAGAGGAUGAGGUCAACCAGGAACAACACCUCCUCCUGACAGUAUACUGACCAUAUAACAGGGAAGAGGAUGA